GUGUAUAAGAGACAGGUGAAUCAUCGAAUCUUUGAACGCACAUUGCGCCCUUUGGUAUUCCUUAGGGCAUGCCUGUUCGAGCGUCAUUUAAACCUUCAAGCUCAGCUUGGUGUUGGGUGACUGUCCGCUUCACCGCGGACUCGCCUCAAAAUUAUUGGCGGCCGGUACAUUGGCUCUCGAGCGCAGCAGAAACGCGUAACUCGAGGUCCUCGUGCUGGCUCCCAGAAGCUAUCUUCACAAUUUUGACCUCGGAUCAGGUAGGGAUACCCGCUGAACUUAAGCAUAUCAAUAAGCGGAGGA
rnacentral:misc_RNA from 1 species